GACGAACGCUGGCGGCGUGCUUAACACAUGCAAGUCGAACGGAAAGGCCCUGCUUUUGUGGGGUGCUCGAGUGGCGAACGGGUGAGUAACACGUGAGUAGCCUGCCCUUGACUUUGGGAUAACUUCAGGAAACUGGGGCUAAUACCGGAUAGGAGCUCCUGCUGCAUGGUGGGGGUUGGAAAGUUUCGGCGGUUGGGGAUGGACUCGCGGCUUAUCAGCUUGUUGGUGGGGUAGUGGCUUACCAAGGCUUUGACGGGUAGCCGGCCUGAGAGGGUGACCGGCCACAUGGGGACUGAGAAACGGCCCAGACUCCUACGGGAGGCAGCAGUGGGGAAUAUUGCACAAUGGGCGGAAGCCUGAUGCAGCAACGCCGCGUGCGGGAUGACGGCCUUCGGGUUGUAAACCGCUUUCGCCUGUGACGAAGCGUGAGUGACGGUAAUGGGUAAAGAAGCACCGGCUAACUACGUG
rnacentral:rRNA from 1 species